rnacentral:rRNA from 1 species
GACGAACGCUGGCGGCGUGCUUAACACAUGCAAGUCGAACGGAAAGGCCCUGCUUUUGUGGGGUGCUCGAGUGGCGAACGGGUGAGUAACACGUGAGUAACCUGCCCUUGACUUUGGGAUAACUUCAGGAAACUGGGGCUAAUACCGGAUAGGAGCUCCUGCUGCAUGGUGGGGGUUGGAAAGUUUCGGCGGUUGGGGAUGGACUCGCGGCUUAUCAGCUUGUUGGUGGGGUAGUGGCUUACCAAGGCUUUGACGGGUAGCCGGCCUGAUAGGGUGACCGGCCACAUUGGGACUGAGAUACGGCCCAGACUCCUACGGGAGGCAGCAGUGGGGAAUAUUGCACAAUGGGCGGAAGCCUGAUGCAGCAACGCCGCGUGCGGGACGACGGCCUUCGGGUUGUAAACCGCUUUCGCCUGUGACGAAGCGUGAGUGACGGUAAUGGGUAAAGAAGCACCGGCUAACUACGUG